CAGUAGCCGCGGGAAUACGUAGGUGGCAAGCGUUGUCCGGAAUUAUUGGGCGUAAAGGGCUCGCAGGCGGUUUCUUAAGUCUGAUGUGAAAGCCCCCGGCUCAACCGGGGAGGGUCAUUGGAAACUGGGAAACUUGAGUGCAGAAGAGGAGAGUGGAAUUCCACGUGUAGCAGUGAAAUGCGUAGAGAUGUGGAGGAACACCAGUGGCGAAGGCGACUCUCUGGUCUGUAACUGACGCUGAGGAGCGAAAGCGUGGGGAGCGAACAGGAUUAGAGACCCCUGUAGUCCCUGUCUCUUAUAA
rnacentral:rRNA from 1 species